AGCGGCAAGGGCAGCAAUGCCCCUAGAGCGGCGGACUGGUGAGUAACGCGUGGGUGAUCUACCUUGGGCAUGGGGAUAGCCAUUAGAAAUAGUGGGUAAUACCGAAUACGUUCGUUACCGUGAGGGUAACGAGGAAAGGCGCUACGGCGCCGGCCUGGAGAUGAGCUUGCGUCUGAUUAGCUAGUUGGUGAGGUAAUGGCUCACCAAGGCGAUGAUCGGUAGCCGGCCUGAGAGGGUGUACGGCCACACUGGGACUGAGAUACGGCCCAGACUCCUACGGGAGGCAGCAGCUAAGAAUAUUCCGCAAUGGACGAAAGUCUGACGGAGCGACGCCGCGUGGAUGAUGGAGGCCGAAAGGUUGUAAAGUCCUUUUGCUGGGGAAGAAUAAGCGUGGGAGGGAAUGCCCGCGUGAUGACAUGAACCGGCGAAUAAGCCCCGGCUAACUACGUGCCAGCAGCCGCGGUAACACGUAGGGGGCGAGCGUUGUUCGGAAUUACUGGGCGUAAAGGGCAUGUAGGCGGCUUUGUAAGCUUGGCGUGAAAUUCCACGGCUUAACCGUGGGAAUGCGUUGAGAACUGCGAGGCUUGAGUGACGGAGAGGGAGCUAGAAUUCCUGGUGUAGGGGUGGAAUCUGUAGAGAUCAGGAAGAAUACCAAUGGCGAAGGCAAGCUCCUGGCCGAUGACUGACGCUGAGGUGCGAAAGUGUGGGGAUCAAACAGGAUUAGAUACCCUGGUAGUCCACACUGUAAACGAUGUACACUAGGUGCUGGGGCGGAUGCUUCAGUGCCGUAGCUAACGUGAUAAGUGUACCGC
rnacentral:rRNA from 1 species